GCACAAUGGGCGCAAGCCUGAUGCAGCCAUGCCGCGUGUAUGAAGAAGGCCUUCGGGUUGUAAAGUACUUUCAGCAGUGAGGAAGGUGGUGCAGUUAAUAGCUGUAUCAUUUGACGUUAGCUGCAGAAGAAGCACCGGCUAACUCCGUGCCAGCAGCCGCGGUAAUACGGAGGGUGCGAGCGUUAAUCGGAAUUACUGGGCGUAAAGCGCAUGCAGGUGGUUUGUUAAGUCAGAUGUGAAAGCCCCGGGGCUCAACCUCGGAAUUGCAUUUGAAACUGGCAGACUAGAGUACUGUAGAGGGGGUAGAAUUUCAGGUGUAGCGGUGAAAUGCGUAGAGAUCUGAAGGAAUACCGGUGGCGAAGGCGGCCCCCUGGACAGAUACUGACACUCAGAUGCGAAAGCGUGGGGAGCAAACAGGAUUAGAUACCCUGGUAG
rnacentral:rRNA from 1 species